AAAUGAUAACCAACGCUGCAAACGCACUGUUUGUCAGUGCACGAUGUAUUUCCCAUGGUUUUUUGACACUGUUGAUCCUCCUGACAGUCGGAGCCUAGUGCAGUAGCGACUGUGGAGCAUCGAAGAAAAAAAAGUUUUUCGAAUUCUUGUCACGAGCUCUCGUCAAUUGUUUUGACAACUUUUUCAAAAAUUCUCGAAUCCCCGAAUCCCGAAAAUGAAUUUACGACAAUCUGAGGAAAAAAUGGGAAAUUCUUUACCAGGAAGACACUCGCGGAUUUGGCUGGCCAUGACGUAUCCCUCGAUGCAGCCGCAUUGUUUUCUGGUCGUGUUGCAAUACUCGUAGGGAAGAUUGCAAUCUUUUGCAAUCGAGCACGAUUGUACGUCGGCCGCCGAGUUCCGACCUUUCCAUUCCCGAAGCGUAAAUAAAAAUCAAAUAUUAAAAUGA